AUGCCUCGGAGCAGCUGGUUGUUAGUCUUCAUCUCGGUUUGGUGGCUGCGAGCGAUGCUCGCCGGGGCCGAGGAGCAGCAAGGGGAAGGCUGCUCGAGCUCGACCAAGAGGUGCGGCAACUUCAACAUCUCCGAACCAUUCUGGCUCUCUAACAGUGAGGCGCAAAGAUCAUGUGGCCCCCAGGACUUCGAGGUCGCCUGCCAUAACAAGAGUUUUCCAGGUCUACGGAGCUCUAUACCCUCGGCCUCGGGCCUCGGCUUUGCAAUCAUCAACAUCUCUUACAAGGAAAACAGUUUGCGCGUCGUUGAUCAAGGCAAUCUGGAAGUACUGCAAGCCUCCAACAGCUGCCAUGGAACGAUAUUGAACACCUCCGUCAAGCUGGCCCAACCGUUUAGGAUCAAUCCCGUCGGCCUGAGCCUCAUCUUGUACAACUGCUCGGAGGAGGGCGCAGCCGCAGCGGCGACUGUGGCACGUCGGGAUAGAGACCUGGUAAAGACCGGAGUGAGAUGCCGGAACGAGAGCAAGGUGCUUGUCCGCACGGGAGUACCUUACGACGCGACCGGGGACUACGGCGGGUACGCUUUGAAGGCCUGUGAAGCUGUCGUCGUGCCGGUGAUGGGCUUGUCGGGCGAGGCGAACAUGAGCAACUACAAGCAGCUCAUUAACGAUGGCUUCCUCUUGACAUGGGAUUUGCCGCAAGCUCUGCCUCUCCCUGCACCUGCACCUCUUCAUACGCCUGCACGUACACGGCGCCGUAAAAUGGCAACGGGGACGAUUCUUAAAAUAGUUGGAGCAGGACUAGGUGGUGCUGUACUCAUGGCAUGUCUCAGCUGUUUUGUCUGGUACAAACGCAAGAAGAGGAAACAAGCUAUAGCUUCAAAUGAGUUCGUGCGAAGUGGAUCUUCAAUGACGUCAUACAGUAAAGACCUUGAGUUGGAUUGUUCUCCUCAUAUCUUCACUUUCGAGGAACUCGAAGUGGCUACUGAUGGAUUUAGUGCUUCAAGGGAGCUUGGUGAUGGUGGUUUUGGUACUGUCUACAAAGGAAAACUAAAGGAUGGGAGAGUAGUUGCGGUGAAACGCCUUUACAAGAACAACUACAGACGGGUUGAGCAGUUCCUGAAUGAAGUUGACAUCCUUUCGCGCCUGCUCCACCAGAACCUUGUCAUCUUAUAUGGAUGUACGUCGCGUAUGAGCCGUGACCUUCUCCUAGUGUACGAGUUCAUCGCAAAUGGCACGGUUGCGGACCAUCUUCACGGAUCCCGUUCGGUGGAACGAGGGCUCACAUGGCCUCUAAGGCUGAACAUUGCCAUAGAAACGGCUGAAGCACUAGCCUACCUACAUGCGGUUGAGAUCAUACACCGAGAUGUGAAGACAACCAACAUAUUGCUCGACAACAGCUUCCAUGUCAAAGUUGCAGACUUUGGGUUGUCACGCCUGUUUCCGCUUGAGGUUACCCAUGUGUCGACUGUUCCACAGGGCACACCGGGCUACGUCGACCCAGUGUACCACCAGUGCUACAAGCUGACCGACAAGAGUGACGUGUACAGCUUCGGUGUCGUGCUAGUGGAGCUGAUAUCAUCGAAACCUGCUGUGGACAUGAGCAGGAGCCACAGUGAGAUCAACCUGGCGAACAUGGCUCUCAACAGGAUUCAGAACCAUGAAGUUGUUAAGCUGAUUGAUCCAGAGCUCGGCUACGACACCGACCCCGAAACGAAGAGGACAAUCGAUCGCGUCGCCGAGGUGGCCUUCUAG
rnacentral:rRNA from 1 species